rnacentral:rRNA from 1 species
AUUGAACGCUGGCGGCAGGCCUAACACAUGCAAGUCGAGCGGAUGAGUGGAGCUUGCUCCAUGAUUCAGCGGCGGACGGGUGAGUAAUGCCUAGGAAUCUGCCUGGUAGUGGGGGACAACGUUUCGAAAGGAACGCUAAUACCGCAUACGUCCUACGGGAGAAAGCAGGGGACCUUCGGGCCUUGCGCUAUCAGAUGAGCCUAGGUCGGAUUAGCUAGUAGGUGAGGUAAUGGCUCACCUAGGCGACGAUCCGUAACUGGUCUGAGAGGAUGAUCAGUCACACUGGAACUGAGACACGGUCCAGACUCCUACGGGAGGCAGCAGUGGGGAAUUUUGGACAAUGGGGGCAACCCUGAUCCAGCAAUGCCGCGUGAGUGAAGAAGGCCUUCGGGUUGUAAAGCUCUUUUGUCAGGGAAGAAACGGUGAGUUCUAAUAAAGCUUGCUAAUGACGGUACCUGAAGAAUAAGCACCGGCUAACUACGUG